rnacentral:rRNA from 1 species
UGGGGAAUAUUGGACAAUGGGCGAAAGCCUGAUCCAGCCAUGCCGCGUGUGUGAAGAAGGUCUUCGGAUUGUAAAGCACUUUAAGUUGGGAGGAAGGGUUGUAGGUUAAUACCCUGCAAUUUUGACGUUACCAACAGAAUAAGCACCGGCUAACUUCGUGCCAGCAGCCGCGGUAAUACGAAGGGUGCAAGCGUUAAUCGGAAUUACUGGGCGUAAAGCGCGCGUAGGUGGUUCGGUAAGUUGGAAGUGAAAGCCCCGGGCUCAACCUGGGAAUUGCUUUCAAAACUGCCGAGCUAGAGUAUGGCAGAGGGUGGUGGAAUUUCCUGUGUAGCGGUGAAAUGCGUAGAUAUAGGAAGGAACAUCAGUGGCGAAGGCGACCACCUGGGCUAAUACUGACACU